AUUGAACGCUGGCGGCAGGCCUAACACAUGCAAGUCGAGCGGAUGAAGGGAGCUUGCUCCUGGAUUCAGCGGCGGACGGGUGAGUAAUGCCUAGGAAUCUGCCUGGUAGUGGGGGAUAACGUCCGGAAACGGGCGCUAAUACCGCAUACGUCCUGAGGGAGAAAGUGGGGGAUCUUCGGACCUCACGCUAUCAGAUGAGCCUAGGUUGGAUUAGCUAGUUGGUGGGGUAAAGGCCUACCAAGGCGACGAUCCGUAACUGGUCUGAGGGGAUGAUCAGUCACACUGGAACUGAGACACGGUCCAGACUCCUACGGGAGGCAGCAGUGGGGAAUAUUGGACAAUGGGCGAAAGCCUGAUCCAGCCAUGCCGCGUGUGUGAAGAAGGUCUUCGGAUUGUAAAGCACUUUAAGUUGGGAGGAAGGGCAGUAAGUUAAUACCUUGCUGUUUUGACGUUACCAACAGAAUAAGCACCGGCUAACUUCGUG
rnacentral:rRNA from 1 species